rnacentral:rRNA from 1 species
ACGGGUGAGUAAUGUCUGGGGAUCUGCCCGAUAGAGGGGGAUAACCACUGGAAACGGUGGCUAAUACCGCAUAACGUCGCAAGACCAAAGAGGGGGACCUUCGGGCCUCUCACUAUCGGAUGAACCCAGAUGGGAUUAGCUAGUAGGCGGGGUAAUGGCCCACCUAGGCGACGAUCCCUAGCUGGUCUGAGAGGAUGACCAGCCACACUGGAACUGAGACACGGUCCAGACUCCUACGGGAGGCAGCAGUGGGGAAUAUUGCACAAUGGGCGCAAGCCUGAUGCAGCCAUGCCGCGUGUAUGAAGAAGGCCUUCGGGUUGUAAAGUACUUUCAGCGGGGAGGAAGGGCGGCGCGGUUAAUAACCGCGCCGAUUGACGUUACCCGCAGAAGAAGCACCGGCUAACUCCGUGCCAGCAGCCGCGGUAAUACGGAGGGUGCAAGCGUUAAUCGGAAUUACUGGGCGUAAAGCGCACGCAGGCGGUCUGUUAAGUCAGAUGUGAAAGCCCCCGGCUCAACCGGGGAGGGUCAUUGGAAACUGGAAGGCUUGAGUACAGAAGAGAAGAGUGGAAUUCCAUGUGUA